rnacentral:lncRNA from 10 species
CGGGGCCUGAGAAAGCCCAGCCCGGCUGAUAGGGGAGAGAUUGGUUUCAGCCGGAGCCGCCGCCUGCCAAGUCCACAUCCUAUCGGUGCGGCCUGCGCUUACUCAACAUUCAUCACCGCUGAACUCGGAAACUUUAUCGACGCUGAAGGGUCUCAGGCAGCAAAGCAACUGCUCCCACCGCACAGCUGCAGAAACGGAGGCUGCCCGGUCCCACGGGGGACGGCAGCGCCGCAGGGCCUGCGCCCAGACCUCCUGCCCAGCUGGCCCCUCGUCCUGGUGGGGUCCAGGGCUGCGGCGUCCUGGAAGCUUGUGGGGCGCUAGAGCUCUGAGCUCUGUGAUGCAGGCCUGCCCUGGGCCUGCUGCCCCGCCUGAAACCAGGAGUUAACACAUCAGCCUCCAACCCACAGAGGCGGAGCCUAGGAUGCUGGAGUGGGGCUGGGGCAAGGGUGGGAGCCACCAUCAGGGAGAGCCUGUGCCGGGAGGGCGUGGAGUUAUGGGGACCCACUGCUGCUGGGUUCCCAGCACCGAAUGCACUUGUGUCCUGAGCUGUAC